UAGGGAAUCUUCCGCAAUGGACGAAAGUCUGACGGAGCAACGCCGCGUGAGUGAAGAAGGUUUUCGGAUCGUAAAACUCUGUUGUUAGGGAAGAACAAGUGCCGUUCGAAUAGGGCGGCGCCUUGACGGUACCUAACCAGAAAGCCACGGCUAACUACGUGCCAGCAGCCGCGGUAAUACGUAGGUGGCAAGCGUUGUCCGGAAUUAUUGGGCGUAAAGCGCGCGCAGGUGGUUUCUUAAGUCUGAUGUGAAAGCCCACGGCUCAACCGUGGAGGGUCAUUGGAAACUGGGGAACUUGAGUGCAGAAGAGGAAAGUGGAAUUCCAAGUGUAGCGGUGAAAUGCGUAGAUAUUUGGAGGAACACCAGUGGCGAAGGCGACUUUCUGGUCUGUAACUGACACUGAGGCGCGAAAGCGUGGGGAGCAAACAGG
rnacentral:rRNA from 1 species